rnacentral:rRNA from 1 species
CGUCAAAUCAUCAUGCCCCUUAUGACCUGGGCUACACACGUGCUACAAUGGAUGGAACAAAGGGUCGCGAAGCCGCGAGGUCGAGCCAAUCCCAUAAAUCCAUUCUCAGUUCGGAUUGCAGGCUGCAACUCGCCUGCAUGAAGCCGGAAUCGCUAGUAAUCGCGGAUCAGCAUGCCGCGGUGAAUACGUUCCCGGGCCUU